AAACUGAGCGGCGGACGGGUGAGUAACGCGUGGGCAACCUGCCUUACACAGGGGGAUAACAGUUAGAAAUGACUGCUAAUACCGCAUAAGACCACAGGACUGCAUGGUCCGGUGGUAAAAAACUCCGGUGGUGUAAGAUGGGCCCGCGUCUGAUUAGGUAGUUGGCGGGGUAACGGCCCACCAAGCCGACGAUCAGUAGCCGACCUGAGAGGGUGACCGGCCACAUUGGGACUGAGACACGGCCCAGACUCCUACGGAAGGCAGCAG
rnacentral:rRNA from 1 species